rnacentral:lncRNA from 1 species
AAGUUGUGCUAGAAACAUGGUUCAUACUUAAGUGAGGGAAUGUAAGAAUAUAAGUAAAAGAUUAUUGUGAUAGCCGAUUAGUUCAAAUUGGUAGAGAAAAGUCUUAUGAAAAGAGGAUUGCUUUGUCCUAAUUUACAUGGAUUUGGAUUUAGUAUGUAAACUGGUUUCUACCACUUGUAAUUUGAUAAGGAGACUAUUUUUGUGUUCUAUGUGAAUUCUAAUAGGAGCGUCAUAUAUAUGUUUGUCUAUACAAAUAGUGGUCACUACUCUUAUAGAAAAAACGCUCGUUAUUGGACUUAGGUUCUAUUGUAAUGGAACAUAUUGUUUUUGCAAAAUAGAAAAAGCUUACUAUUCAAAUUGGUCAGACUUCAUUUUCAUUGUUAUUUUUAAAGAUUCUUACCUCUAGUAAAAAAAAAUCCCUUGCACGAUGAAAGACGAAAUUUUAGACUUAGUCACGCAAUAUGUUUUAAAAAAAAAAUUUCAUUAAAAAAUUAUUUUUUAAAAACUUUGCGCGACGAAAUCCAAUUAUUUCGUCGCCUAAACCCGAUUUAUUUUCUUUUUUAUUUAAUUUUAUAUUUUAAAUUGUAAAAUAAAUUAUUUUCAUAGUUUUUAUUAUUUUUUAAAAACUUUG